rnacentral:misc_RNA from 1 species
GAAAUGCGAUAAGUAAUGUGAAUUGCAGAAUUCAGUGAAUCAUCGAAUCUUUGAACGCACAUUGCGCCCGCCAGUAUUCUGGCGUGCAUGCCUGUCCGAGCGUCAUUUCAACCCUCGAACCCCUCCGGGAGAUCGGCGUUGGGGAUCGGGACCCCUCACCGGGUGCCGGCCCUGAAAUACAGUUGCGGUCUCGCCGCCGCCUCUCCUGCGCAAUAGUUUGCACAACUCGCACCGGGAGCGCGGCGCGUCCACGUCCGUAAAACACCCAGCUUCUGAAAUGUUGACCUCGGAUCAGGUAGGAAUACCCGCUGAACUUAA